rnacentral:rRNA from 1 species
UAGUGAUUCCUACGGGAGGCAGCAGUGGGGAAUAUUGGACAAUGGGCGAAAGCCUGAUCCAGCAAUGCCGCGUGAGUGAUGAAGGCCUUAGGGUUGUAAAGCUCUUUUACCCGAGAUGAUAAUGACAGUAUCGGGAGAAUAAGCUCCGGCUAACUCCGUGCCAGCAGCCGCGGUAAU